rnacentral:lncRNA from 10 species
CACCUGCCUCAGCCUCCUAAAGUGCUGGGAUUACAGAUGUGAGCCACCGCGCCCAGCCUGACUCUCAUUUUCAGUCCUUGGCCAGAGAUCUCCAACCCUGCCCUGCAAUCUUAGUACACAUUCCUUGUUUGGGGUCUUACUCUCCAAAGUGACUACAUCAUAUUCCCUCUCUCCUCAAAUCUACAGCCCUCCACUCCCAGCUCUGCACACUCAAGGGUGGCCUCACCUCCUAGUUCAUUGAGAAAACCAUUAGUUCAGUG